UACGUAGGGUGCGAGCGUUGUCCGGAAUUACUGGGCGUAAAGAGCGCGCAGGCGGUCGUACAAGUCGCGUGUGAAAGCCCCCGGCUCAACUGGGGAGGGUCACGCGAUACUGUUCGACUCGAAGGCAGGAGAGGGUAGUGGAAUUCCCGGUGUAGUGGUGAAAUGCGUAGAUAUCGGGAGGAACACCAGUGGCGAAGGCGACUACCUGGCCUGUUCUUGACGCUGAGGCGCGAAAGCUAGGGUAGCAAACGGG
rnacentral:rRNA from 1 species